AUUUUCGCAGGCUAAAAAUUUUGAAUGUUCGUUUGGUUUUACAGACGUGGAAAGGAAUGAUUUUCUUUGACUGGUGAUUUGUCUUGAGAGAAAGGUUCCCAGAAGGUCUGUUUUCUUGCCUGUUNNNNNNNNCCCAAGUGGGGAUUGAAUAGAACAUAUGGAAGUAACCUUGUAUUCUUUUUAUUCUUGCCCAGAACUCGACGUUUAAAGCUGAAGUGAAAUUUCAGCUUCUGC
rnacentral:misc_RNA from 1 species